rnacentral:rRNA from 1 species
UACGUAGGGGGCAAGCGUUGUCCGGAUUUAUUGGGCGUAAAGAGCGUGUAGGCGGCCAAGCAGGUCAGCUGUGAAAACUCGAGGCUCAACCUCGAGACGUCGGUUGAAACCGCUUGGCUAGAGUCCGGAAGAGGAGAGUGGAAUUCCCGGUGUAGCGGUGAAAUGCGCAGAUAUCAGGAGGAACACCAAUUGCGAAGGCAGCUCGCUGGGACGUUACUGACGCUGAGACGCGAAAGCGUGGGGAGCAAACAGG